rnacentral:rRNA from 1 species
GACGAACGCUGGCGGCGUGCUUAACACAUGCAAGUCGAACGAAAAUACCAAGCUUGCUUGGUUGAUUAGUGGCGAACGGGUGAGUAACACGUGAGUAACCUGCCCCUUACUUUCUGGAUAACUGCUCGAAAGGGUAGCUAAUACGGGAUAUUCUGACCGGCCUGCAUGGGUUGGUUUGGAAAGGUUGUUUUUCUGGUGAGGGAUGGGCUCGCGGCCUAUCAGCUUGUUGGUGGGGUGAUGGCCUACCAAGGCUUUGACGGGUAGCCGGCCUGAGAGGGUGGACGGUCACACUGGGACUGAGAUACGGCCCAGACUCCUACGGGAGGCAGCAGUGGGGAAUAUUGCACAAUGGGCGCAAGCCUGAUGCAGCGACGCCGCGUGAGGGAUGAAGGCCUUCGGGUUGUAAACCUCUUUCGUCAGGGAACAAGGCACUGUCUUUUUGGUGGUGUUGAGGGUACCUGGAUAAGAAGCGCCGGCUAACUACGUGCCAGCAGCCGCGGUAAUACGUAGGGCGCAAGCGUUGUCCGGAAUUAUUGGGCGUAAAGAGCUCGUAGGCGGCUGGUCGCGUCUGUCGUGAAAACUUCCGGCUCAACCGGGGGCUUGCGGUGGGUACGGGCCGGCUAGAGUGCGGUAGGGGUAACUGGAACUCCUGGUGUAGCGGUGGAAUGCGCAGAUAUCAGGAAGAACACCGAUGGCGAAGGCAGGUUACUGGGCCGUUACUGACGCUGAGGAGCGAAAGCGUGGGGAGCGAACAGG